CAUGGGAGCGGGGCUGAGGAAGAAGUGCACAUUGCCUCUGAGCCAGGCAUCUCACUGGGGUCGCCUCUGGGCCAGGCUGCAGCUAGGGAGGGUUCUUGAGUGGGAGGAAAGUACUGGGGGCUGGCAGCUUCCUGGGGCAGGCCAGGGGUGCCGGAUGGUGACCCAUGCCCGGCCGUCUGUGUCCAGGUUUACUCCAUCAUCUCCGUGCAGCUGCUCAUCACUGUGGCCAUCAUUGCUAUCUUCACCUUUGUGGAACCUGUCAGCGCCUUUGUGAGGAGAAAUGUGGCUGUCUACUACGUGUCCUAUGCUGUCUUCGUUGUCACCUACCUGAUCCUUGCCUGCUGCCAGGGACCCAGGUGAGUCCCAGAGACUUAACACAGUGAGAGGGGUGACAGGGAUUGGGAUGGGGGCCGAGUAUUUUGGAAAGAAGGAUUCCUUUAUAGCAGCUGAAUGGAAACUUAC
rnacentral:lncRNA from 1 species